ACACAGUUAGUUCAGCUGGUUAGAACAUGGUGCUUAUAACGCCAAGGUUGCAGGUUCAAUCCCUGCAUAGGGCA